UACUCCUACGGGGGGCAGCAGUGAGGCCUCUUGGUCAAUGUUCGCGCGCCUGAACCAGCCAAGUCGCGUGAGGGAGGACGGCCCUACGGGUUGUAAACCUCUUUUGCCGGGGAGCAACGGGCGUCACGUGUGGCGCCACUGAGAGUACCCGGAGAAAAAGCAUCGGCUAACUCCGUGCCAGCAGCCGCGGUAAUACGGAGGAUGCGAGCGUUAUCCGGAUUUAUUGGGUUUAAAGGGUGCGUAGGCGGAUCGUUAAGUCAGUGGUCAAAUUGAGGGGCUCAACCCCUUCCCGCCAUUGAAACUGG
rnacentral:rRNA from 1 species